CUGGGAUAACUUCGGGAAACCGGAGCUAAUACCGGAUAAUAUUUCGAACCGCAUGGUUCGAUAGUGAAAGAUGGCUUUGCUAUCACUUAUAGAUGGACCUGCGCCGUAUUAGCUAGUUGGUAAGGUAACGGCUUACCAAGGCAACGAUACGUAGCCGACCUGAGAGGGUGAUCGGCCACACUGGAACUGAGACACGGUCCAGACUCCUACGGGAGGCAGCAGUAGGGAAUCUUCCGCAAUGGGCGAAAGCCUGACGGAGCAACGCCGCGUGAGUGAUGAAGGUCUUCGGAUCGUAAAACUCUGUUAUUAGGGAAGAACAAACGUGUAAGUAACUGUGCACGUCUUGACGGUACCUAAUCAGAAAGCCACGGCUAACUACGUGCCAGCAGCCGCGGUAAUACGUAGGUGGCAAGCGUUAUCCGGAAUUAUUGGGCGUAAAGCGCGCGUAGGCGGUUUUUUAAGUCUGAUGUGAAAGCCCACGGCUCAACCGUGGAGGGUCAUUGGAAACUGGAAAACUUGAGUGCAGAAGAGGAAAGUGGAAUUCCAUGUGUAGCGGUGAAAUGCGCAGAGAUAUGGAGGAACACCAGUGGCGAAGGCGACUUUCUGGUCUGUAACUGACGCUGAUGUGCGAAAGCGUGGGGAUCAAACAGGAUUAGAUACCCUGGUAGUCCACGCCGUAAACGAUGAGUGCUAAGUGUUAGGGGGUUUCCGCCCCUUAGUGCUGCAGCUAACGCAUUAAGCACUCCGCCUGGGGAGUACGACCGCAAGGUUGAAACUC
rnacentral:rRNA from 1 species